rnacentral:tRNA from 1 species
GCCCAGGUGGUGGAAUUGGUAUACACGUGCGUUUAAGGGGCGCAUGCCGCAAGGCUUGCGGGUUCGAGUCCCGCCCUGGGCA